GAACCUUACCUGGGCUUGAACCGCUAUUGACCAACGGUAGAAAUAUCGUCUUCCCGCAAGGGACAGUAGUAGAGGUGCUGCAUGGCUGUCGUCAGCUCGUGCCGUGAGGUGUUGGGUUAAGUCCCGCAACGAGCGCAACCCUUGUCCUGUGUUGCCACAUCGAAAGAUAGCACUCUCAGGAGACCGCCAGCGAUAAGCUGGAGGAAGGUGGGGAUGAUGUCAAGUCAUCAUGGCCUUUAUGCCCAGGGCUACACACGUGCUACAACGGGCGGUACAAAGCGCUGCAAACCCGCGAGGGGGAGCCAAUCGCAAAAAACCGUUCUCAGUUCGGAUUGCAGGCUGCAACUCGCCUGCAUGAAGCUGGAAUCGCUAGUAAUGGCAUAUCAGAACGAUGCCGUGAAUACGUUCCCGGGCCUUGUCACACCGA
rnacentral:rRNA from 1 species